rnacentral:rRNA from 1 species
UCCCAGCGGUUCAAGUCGCAGCCACAAUUAUUGGGUCUAAAAUAUCUGUAGCUUGCUUUGCAAGUCUCUUGUGAAAUUCCACAUCUUAAGUGUGGAGCGUGCAGGAGAUACUGCAUUGCUAGAGACCGGGAGACGUAAGAAGUACAAUUAAGGUAGUAGUAAAAUAUGUUGAUCUUAAUUGGACUAACAAUAGCGAAGGCAUCUUACGAGCACGGAUCUGACAGUGAGAGAUGAAGGCUAGGGUCGCGAA